AUUGAACGCUGGCGGCAGGCUUAACACAUGCAAGUCGAGCGAGCGGCGGACGGGUGAGUAAUGUCUGGGAAACUGUCUGAUGGAGGGGGAUAACUACUGGAAACGGUAUCUAAUACCGCAUACCAUCAGAUGUGCCCAGAUGGGUUUAGCUAGUAGGUGGGGUAAUGGCUCACCUAGGCGACGAUCCCUAGCUGGUCUGAGAGGAUGACGAUCCACACUGGAACUGAGACACGGUCCAGACUCCUACCUAGAUAAACAGUCAUUAAUAUUGCACAAUGGGCGCAAGCCUGAUCCAGCCAUGCCGCGUGUGUGAAGAAGGCCUUCGGGUUGUAAAGCACUUUCAGCGAGGAGGCGUUACUCGCAGAAGAAGCACCGGCUAACUCCGUGCCAGCAGCCGCGGUAAUUC
rnacentral:rRNA from 1 species